rnacentral:rRNA from 1 species
CGUGUAGGCGGUUUGUCAAGUCGGGUGUGAAAGCCUGGGGCUCAGCCCCAGAAGUGCAUCCGAAACUAGCGAGCUAGAGCGCGAUAGAGGAGGGUGGAAUUCCUGGUGUAGCGGUGAAAUGCGUAGAUAUCAGGAGGAACACCGGCGGCGAAGGCGGCCCUCUGGAUCGUUGCUGACGCUGAGACGCGAAAGCGUGGGGAGCAAACAGGAUUAGAUACCCUGGUAGUCCACGCCUUAAACGAUGGGUACUAGGUGUUCGGGGUGUUGACCCCCUGAGUGCCGCAGUUAACGCAUUAAGUACCCCCGCCUGGGGACUACGGCCGCAAGGUUAA